rnacentral:rRNA from 1 species
GACGAACGCUGGCGGCGUGCUUAACACAUGCAAGUCGAACGGAAAGGCCCUGCUUUUGUGGGGUGCUCGAGUGGCGAACGGGUGAGUAACACGUGAGUAACCUGCCCUUGACUUUGGGAUAACUUCAGGAAACUGGGGCUAAUACCGGAUAGGGGCUCCUGCUGCAUGGUGGGGGUUGGAAAGUUUCGGCGGUUGGGGAUGGACUCGCGGCUUAUCAGCUUGUUGGUGGGGUAGUGGCUUACCAAGGCUUUGACGGGUAGCCGGCCUGAGAGGGUGACCGGCCACAUGGGGACUGAGAUACGGCCCAGACUCCUACGGGAGGCAGCAGGGGGGAAUAUUGCACAAUGGGCGGAAGCCUGAUGCAGCAACGCCGCGUGCGGGAUGACGGCCUUCGGGUUGUAAACCGCUUUCGCCUGUGACGAAGCGUGAGUGACGGUAAUGGGUAAAGAAGCACCGGCUAACUACGUG